UUUUUUUUUUUUUUUGAGAUUACAGCUGGACUGAAGGGUGCAAAAGAGUAGGCCUCUUACUGGUUCUCAUAAACCACCAUCCUAUAGGAAAUGCCAGCUCAACCUAAAGGGGCCUUCAGGAUUCCCUGCACACACCCCCCCUUCUCCAGGCAGGCUGCCCAGGCCAGGAUGUGGAUGGGAACUGUCAACAGACACUCUUUAAAUAUUUACCCACACUUUCUGGGUGGGGGCAGCAUCCCCAUGCCCAAGACUGGACAAAUUCAAGUUGAUUCUAAUGGGAAAAAAAAUAACCUUGGUCUACGAACACCCUUCUCCGGCCAUGGUGUUGGCAGUUACGUGGGCUUAAUUCAGAGAGAAAAGAGGAGCCAGCAGAAGAGCAAUGUGUGUGCAUGUGGGCUAUUGUGCUCAUGAAUGAAGAUGAAUAAGGAUGAUUUUUUCUGUCUUCUUCUUCUACAGUAUGUGGGGCUACCUUGGAGCACACCCGGAACACACACACACACACACACACACACACACACACACACACACACACUG
rnacentral:lncRNA from 1 species